rnacentral:lncRNA from 1 species
GGACUUGUAAGGGUUUUCUUUGUUGUUGCUGUUGUUUUUGUCUCAGUAUGAAGUGCUUUUUUACUGUUGUUCUUUGCUUUGUGCUAGUGUCUAAAAUUCAAGCUUCUUUAGCACCUUACAGAGGGCACUGUCUCUGCAUAGACAAAGGCUAUAAUGUUGUUCCUACAAGAAUGUUAGAAAAAAUUGAAGUGUUUCCUGAGAGCUCUUCUUGUGAACAUCUUGAGAUCAUUGCUACGUUGAAGCCUUCAAAAGAGCGAAGAUGCCUGAACCCUGAAGCUAAGCAUGUCAGGAUGAUGAUGAAGCACUUAUUGAAAAAACAUUCUGCAGGAAAACUUCGUGUGUGAGUGACCAGCGAAGACCUGCUCUGACUGCUGUUAUGGGGCUCUGCAGCCCUUAAGUAUGUCCUUUCCCCAUGGGCUCUGUACAGCUCUCUGAAGACAAGCUGCAGCUGAGGCUUUUCCAUAUCUCUUCAGUUCCAAGACUCAAGCACCUGCAACAUCACUGGUGAUGAACACCUGGAGCAGCAGUGUGUCUCAGAAGGCACUGUGCAUGCAUGUGCUUCUUGUACAGAAGCCAACUGUUAUGGUUAUAGUAAGACCAGAUCCAGCCUCUGGGGUGUCCAAUAGCUUCAGGUUGCUAUUGGCAGGCACGUCUUGUUUCUCUGCUACCAAGUAUUUGCUUGAGCAGCUGAAGUAACUGUUUUAAUCAGUUAAGGUAGUAAGAAUGAGCCUCCUACUGAGGUCUUUGCUUACCUUUGAUAAACAAGAAUCAAAAUUAUUUUGGACCCCCUAACAGUGUGAUGUUUAAUCCCUAAAUGCAUAUUUUGUUACUUUCCAUGUGAUUGUAUAUAAUUAGACUACUGGAUAAAAGUUCAUUUAUAAUCUUUGUAAGUAAAAUCUCUACUAUAUUAAGUAACAAUGUAAAUGUUAGCUCUAUAGUGUAAAUAUACAGCUACCUACAGAAGAGAAUGUAAGAAAGUAGAAUAAGUUCUAAACCUUCUGUUACCUUCUUGUAAAGGUAAACUAAUAAAAGAC